CGGGGAAACUUACCAGAACCGGAUAGUAGGAGGAUUGACAGAUUAAGAGCUCUUUCUUGAUUUGCUAGGUGGUGGUGCAUGGUCGUUCUUAGUUGGUGGUGUGAAUUGUCUGGUUAAUUCCGAUAACGAACGAGACCUUAAUUCUUAAAUAGGGGCUUAUCAGUCAAUAUUACAAUAAAAUGUAAUUGAGGUUGAUAAAAAACAAUAUUGAGCUCCUUCUUAGGAAGACUAUUCAUGUUUUUUAUAAAUCUAAUGAAUGGAAGUGUGAGGCAAUAACAGGUCUGUGAUGCCCUUCGAUGUUCUGGGCCGCACGCGCGCUACAAUGAUGGGUUCAAAAAGUAUUUUUUAUUUACAAACUUGAACAGCAAUGUUUGAAUUUGUAAAAGAAGACCUAUACCGAAAGGUAUGGGUAAACAAGAAAACCCAUCUUGCUGGGGAUAGAUCAUUGUAAUUAUUGGUCUUGAACGAGGAAUUCCUAGUAAGCAUAGGUCAUCAGCCUAUGUUGAUUACGUCCCUGCCCUUUGUACACACCGCCCGUC
rnacentral:rRNA from 1 species